UGGCCCGUUGUGAUAAAUUUUUCUGUACCCCUGAUUUUUUCUGUACCCCCUCGGGUUUUGGCUAAUGGUUUUUAGACUUGGUUAUAUGUCCGGAACUUCAAAAGUCCAUAAUGGUAGAUUGACAGUGACUAUACUUUUUUGCAAAAGAGAAGAAGAACAUGGCUUUUUCAUAUGUUGCACAGAUCAUUUUCCAUAAUAAACUUAUGUUUCCUUUGUGCAGCUUGGAUUAUUCUAAUAUCACUAAAUGGAACAGACACUAACUAAUAACAAAAGCAAUAGACGGUAGUGCUUGCUCCAGCUUUCUUAUAUAUAAAAAAACUAAGAAGGCUGGACAGUCAAUUUUGCUGACAAAACUGAUAGUGAGAGAAUUAGUGAACAAGUAUCCUUGCAACAAGUGAAGUUUAAAAACUUCAAUUCACGUCGACUUGUCCACAUAAAGAGUGAUGUCAAUUAAAGCUCUGUUAGAAGUUAUUGGUGGAAAAUGUGUCAAUCGUUAACUCAAAACUUAACCUAUUUCAACCGAAACUAAACAGAAAGGAUCCAGCUAUCGAGCUUUACCACUUGGCUAGGAUGAAGAUCUUAGCCUGGACACGAAUAUCCAAUAUUCUAAUCUAACUAAAGGUGAAAGAAGAACAUUAGAACACUGCGCCAAAUGGUACUUCUAUUGUUUCAAGGAGGCUGAUAAAGGUUCAACGGUAGUCUAUUUACAAGAAGCCGAGCUACAACUUGGUGACGAAAAUGUAUAUAAAAAGGUUGUGUUGUUGGAAAAGUUACAGGAAGAUAUACUUUAGAUUAGUUUCUGGAUAAGAAUUUCAGGCUGCCCCGUAACUUUCAAUUGGGAAUUGUAAAGUUGUGUAUUUAAAAAACGCAGCUUUUACAACUUUUAAUAGAAAUUCUAAGUUGAAAGUAUUUAAAAUUGUUGUACAGUGGAAUCCCACUGAAGUGAACAUCAUCGGUGCAAGAAAAGUUGUUGAAACGCGUAGAUACUGCACAUAAUAGAAAUUACAGCAAUUUCGCAAGCGUAAUAUUAGAGAUACGGGGUUAUUUUUUUAACCCACACCAAAAAGUCAAGUUUAGUAAAGAGACGGGAAUAUUAAAGAUGCGGGAAUGAUAGAGCAUAAAUACGAUAUAUAUAACCUUUCUUCAGCAAUUAAUUUGUCGUUAUUCGUUUGCUGACUAGUUUUGUCUUGUUUCGGGUUAAAAUUUUUGGAAAAAAGUUUUCGCAUUAAAUAACGGUCGAAUCGAUCGCUAGUCUAUAUUUGUUACACCAAAUUUGGAAAGUUGUACCACCUAUUUUAAUUAACACACCCCUCAUUAAAGAAUUGUAACUUCCGCCUAUACUUUUCAGAACAAUUCAAGCGUUGUGUUUCACGAAUGUCUUUGAUUCGACUCCCUCCCCCCAAAUAUUACCAAUUCCCUUUCACCCUCUUUCAUCCAUCUGAAUAAAAAUUCACCUACAUAAUUUAUAAACACCAACUCCAACUAUCGAUUUGAAGGUAAUUAACAACCCCUUCUUAGUUAGCCCCCUCUUUACAAUAUGGUUAUGAAAAGUAACUUUAAAAAGAAAGACUCUGGCACUUAUAGACUAGACGUUCGUAAUGUUCUGAAAUUGUAGUUUACUUUAUUCGGAUAUUGACUUGAGCUAUGGCGGUAAUUUAUUUGUGUAUAUAUGUCUAGAAAUACGUUUUUUUUUUUGCUACGAGUAACGUUUCAGAUAGAAUUAGUAUAAAAUAAUUUUAUGAGGAAAUUGAAUUUACUGACUUUGUAUUCGACUGAGGCAUGGAGGUAUAGAAGGUAUAACAUCCAUGACUGAUGUAACGAGCAAAAUAAGAAGAUAUAUUUUUCAAGAAACAUGUGAUUUGAAUUGCA